UUUUAGCCCCGAUAGUAGUGAAAAUCCUUUUUAUUUUUUCUUUAAAAAUAAAAAGAUUGCAACGAAUAGCGGGAAAUAGC
rnacentral:sRNA from 1 species